AGUGCCUGGUGCUUAAUUAGCAGAACGAUCUGGAAAGUUCGGCCAUAGCGGGUGACAGCCCCGUAUGCGAAAAUGAAGCAUCAGGACUUGAGUAGGGCGGAGCACGUGAAACUCUGUCUGAACAUGGGGGGACCACCCUCCAAGCCUAAAUACUCGUACAUGACCGAUAGCGAACCAGUACCGUGAGGGAAAGGUGAAAAGCACCCCGAUGAGGGGAGUGAAACAGUACCUGAAACCGGAUGCCUACAAGCAGUGGGAGGGUCCUUGAGACCUGACCGCGUACCUCUUGCAUAAUGGGUCUGUGACUUAGUGUAUCAUGCAAGCUUAAGCCGUUAGGUGUAGGCGCAGCGAAAGCGAGUCUGAAUAGGGCGACUGAGUAUGAUGCAUUAGACCCGAAACCCGGCGAUCUAGGCAUGACCAGGUUGAAGGUGCGGUAACACGCACUGGAGGACCGAACCGUUUAAUGUUGAAAAAUUAUCGGAUGAGUUGUGUUUAGGGGUGAAAGGCCAAUCAAGCCGGGAAAUAGCUGGUUCUCCGCGAAAUCUAUUGAGGUAGAGCGUCGGAUGAUUGCCGUUGGGGGUAGAGCACUGGAUGGUUGCGGGGGUCGCGAGAUCUACCAAUACUAACCAAACUCCGAAUACCAACGAGUCUAGUCCGGCAGACAGACGGCGGGUGCUAAGGUCCGUCGUCAAAAGGGAAACAGCCCUAACCUACAGCUAAGGUCCCCAAGUCACGUCUAAGUGGGAAAGCAUGUGGGAUUUCCAAAACAACCAGGAGGUUGGCUUAGAAGCAGCCAUCCUUUAAAGAAAGCGUAACAGCUCACUGGUCUAAAUAAGAGAUCCUGCGGCGAAGAUGUAACGGGGCUCAAGACGUGCACCGAAGCUUAGGGUGUGAUCGUUUACGAUCACGCGGUAGCGGAGCGUUCCGUAGGCCGUUGAAGCGAUCUGGUAAUGGGUCGUGGAGGUAUCGGAAGUGCGAAUGCAGACAUGAGUAGCGAUUAACAGUGUGAGAUGCACUGUCGCCGAAAUUCCAAGGGUUCCUGCUUAAAGCUAAUCUGAGCAGGGUAAGCCGGCCCCUAAGACGAGCCCGAAGGGGGUAGUCGAUGGGAACCACGUUAAUAUUCGUGGGCCUGGAGGUGUGUGACGGAUGGCGUAAAUUGUUCGGCCUUAUUGGAUUGGUCCGGGCAGUGAAGUUGUCCCAGGAAAUAGCCCCUCCGUAUAGACCGUACCCUAAACCGACACAGGUGGAAUGGUAGAGUAUACCAAGGCGUUUGAGAGAAGUAUCCUGAAGGAACUCGGCAAAUUGCCUCCGUACCUUCGGAAGAAGGAGGCCCCACAUUAAGGCAACUUUUUGUGGGGGGCACAGGCCAGGGGGUAGCGACUGUUUAGCAAAAACACAGGGCUCUGCUAAGUCGGCUUCAAGACGACGUAUAGGGCCUGACGCCUGCCCGGUGCCUGAAGGUUAAGAGGAGGAGUGCAAGCUCUGAAUUGAAGCCCAGGUAAACGGCGGCCGUAACUAUAACGGUCCUAAGGUAGCGAAAUUCCUUGUCGGGUAAGUUCCGACCUGCACGAAUGGCGUAACGACUUCCCCACUGUCUCCAGGAUAUGCUCAGCGAAAUUGAAUUCUCCGUGAAGAUGCGGAGUACCCGCGGUUAGACGGAAAGACCCCGUGCACCUUUACUGCAGCUUCAGAGUGGCAUUAGGAAAGAACUGUGUAGCAUAGGUGGGAGGCUUUGAAGCGAUGACGCCAGUUGUCGUGGAGCCAUAGGUGAAAUACCACCCUGUUGUUUUCUGAUGUCUAACCUCGCACCGUUAUCCGGUGCAGGGACCCUCUGUGGCGGGUAGUUUGACUGGGGCGGUCGCCUCCUAAAGAGUAACGGAGGCGCGCGAUGGUGGGCUCAGGACGGUUGGAAACCGUCUGUUAGAGUGCAAUGGCAUAAGCCCGCCUGACUGCGAGACUGACAAGUCGAGCAGAGACGAAAGUCGGUCAUAGUGAUCCGGUGGUCCCUCGUGGAAGGGCCAUCGCUCAACGGAUAAAAGGUACGCCGGGGAUAACAGGCUGAUGAUUCCCAAGAGCUCAUAUCGACGGAAUCGUUUGGCACCUCGAUGUCGGCUCAUCACAUCCUGGGGCUGGAGCAGGUCCCAAGGGUUUGGCUGUUCGCCAAUUAAAGUGGUACGUGAGCUGGGUUCAGAACGUCGCGAGACAGUUUGGUCCCUAUCUGCCGUGGGCGUCGAAAUUUGAGAGGAGUUGACCCUAGUACGAGAGGACCGGGUUGAACAUACCUCUGGUGUACCUGUCGUCGUGCCAACGGCGCAGCAGGGUAGCUAUGUAUGGACGGGAUAACCGCUGAAAGCAUCUAAGCGGGAAGCCUCCCUCAAGAUAAGAUUUCUUCGAGCGGUCGUAGACCACGACCUUGAUAGGCCGGAUGUAGAAGUGUGGUAACAUAUGGAGCUAACCGGUCCUAAUUGCUCUGAUCGCGCCUGAGAGUCCCACCAUCAAUGACAACACUGGACACAAACCAGCGUCAGCCAUUGAAUGUGGUGAUCAACCUCAUGCCAGAUAUAUCUACCGUAAAAUGCACGGCACCGAUUAAAACCCAAAGCGCAAGCUCUAUUGCUUGGUGACCAUAGCGUCUGUGACCCACCCGAUCCCAUCCCGAACUCGGCCGUGAAACCAGUCUGCGCCGAUGGUACUGUGGCUCAAGCCCCGGAAGAGUAGGGCGUCGCCAGGCAUUACAGCUCGCGCUUUGAUAAAAACCCAUUCACUUUGUUUGUUGGCCUCAGGCGCCGGCGGUCCCAUCCGGGACCUUGGCUACCACGCCAUAAGGCGUGACGGCCGUUCGGCCUUGCGGAGGCUGAAGCCUCCGUUAUCCCUGAGCCAACAUCUAUGGUGUCGCGGGAUGGAGCAGCCCGGUAGCUCGUCAGGCUCAUAACCUGAAGGUCGUAGGUUCAAAUCCUACUCCCGCAACCA
rnacentral:rRNA from 1 species